rnacentral:lncRNA from 1 species
UUAAGAGUUAUACAUCCUUCUGACUUAGCACCACGCAUGGCCUAUUAUUAUUCCUUGCCAAGAAUGAAACAACUCCAAAUUUAUCAUCUACCCAAAUUAAAAGCAUUUAUUCGAGAACCAAGAUUACGUAUAUCACAAUCAAAAUAAAAACUAAUUAAAAUAAUUUAAUUGCAAACUAAGUCAUGCCACUCAAACAACGUAGAAACAAAAAUCAACCAACACACACACCAAGCUAUUGUAAUAAAAGGAAAUGAGAAUGAAAAUUGAGAAAUAGACCUUUUAUUGAUGAACAAAACUGAAAAUUGCAAAUCAAUCAGGCUUAACAAGGCAACAAUCUUGAGAUUGAAACAUCAAAAUUAUGAACCGGAACCUCAAAUUGACAUCGGAGAGCUCGAAACCCAAAUCAACCUUAGAUAAACUAGAACCUCCAAACAUUUGACAAAGCAGACCAUCCCUUAAUAUUUGUGCUCUUUAAAAUGUUUACCACCGCCGAAAACUUUGUGAACAGGAUGUUCCCUAAAACAAAAGCCGACAAACUUUAGACUUAAACCACGACGUUACGGGAGGAGAUGAUGUUGUUUUCUUAUUUUUAUCAGAAUCAAAAAAAAGACGAAGAAGAGUGAUAGUUAUUAUUACGGAGAUGAUGUUGUUUCCUACAUUACACUCCUUGUUUUCUUAUCAAUCCUGCCAUUUUUAGUGUAGCUCCUAGGUCUAGGUAUUGAAAACUUAGGGUAAGGUUUCUAUAAUUGGAUAUUUUAUAUGGAGGUGGGAAGGGAUGAUGGCCACUAGAUUAGAAGGAAAUACAUAGCUAGGAUUAAAUCUUGCACUUAAGUGGGCUAAUGGGUUGGAAAGAAUGGGCUAAGGGUAAUUGGGUUGGACCAUGUCAUUUGGGUUAAAACUUAGGCUAAAAAGACCAAAUAAUAUAAUGUAUCUAUAAAAAUGUAAAAAUCACUCUAAAUUAAAAUAAACUAAUAUAAAACUAAAUACUACGAGUGAAACUAAUUUUUUGUAUUUUCAAAUGUUAUAAUACUAUAAAUAUAAAUAUACUAAUUGACUUUAACCUAAAGAUGAAAAUAUUUAUUUUAUUUUUUGUAAUUUUUAUUUUUUUGUGAUAAAAUAAAGUAAAAGAGUCAAAACUAUUUAAAAUAACGAUAUUAAACCUAAACUAAAUAUUUUACGCUAAAAUGUGUAAAAUCUUGGGGAUGGUCAAAAAUUACAUGUCUACAGCUGCCCUUCUUUGACUGGAAACGCGAAGAGUUUUCAGGCAAAGAACGACGAGACAGGUUUUUCGACCCGACCCUUAUUUAGAGCGACCAAAAACUAAGAGAAAGGAGAAUGUGACCAAGCCCUGGUAUCUGAGCUGCCUACAUAUCCUUGGCUAUAAAGGAAUCAGGCCACGUGUAGUUCGGAAUUAGGAAGAGUGAUGGAGUAUACCGAGGUGGAGAGCCGAUUGAGGUGUCGUCGAGGUUCCGGUCCGCGGUAUCGUUAUUACACCAAAAUCAAAAAUGAAAAGACUAACUAAGCUUAUCAGCUACGAGUUACAAGAUUACUAUCUAUGAGUCUUCUGAAGUUUGAUCUUCAGUCUUGGUUGGUCCUUCAUGCGGACUCUGAUCUGAAUCUUAAUGCUUGUUAGCUGCAGGUGCUGGUUCUUUCCUUUUUCAACUUCUCAGAUCAAGGCGAGACAUGCAAAGCUUGUGAUUUCAAUCACGUCUUGAGCGGUCCACAUCUUUUCUCCGCUUCUGCACUUUAAGUUCACUUCUUUUUCUUUUUUUUCUUUUUUCCUUAUUCGGGAUUGAGACUCAUUCUUUUGGUCGUCUCGAACCUUGUGCCUUGAGGUAAAACCUGAUCAGACACCAAAACAAGCAAACGAACGAAUGAAAUUUUUUUGCCCCAGUUUUCACUAGGAAAAUUCGUGAGUUAUUUUAAUAAAAUUCUAAACUACUUCUUUAUUGAAAGCAAUAAAAGGUCGGGAUUGUGUAUCCUUGGGAAAAAGAGAUUAGGGAGUGGAGUCCCUAUAUCUAAAAUGAAAUCAACUAGGGAUUGGAGACCCUAAGUUGGAAAGAUUACCAGGUUAUGUUGGCAUCAACUAAGGAGUGGGACCCUAUGUUGGAAAAGAUUACCAAGUUAUGCUGGCAUCAACUAGGGAGUGGGACCUAUGUUGGAAAAGAUUACCAGGCUAUGCUGGCAUCAACUACUGAAUUGGACCCUAUUUUGGAAGAGAAAACUAGGGAGUGGAGACCCUAUGUCUAAACCGAACCAAGAAGGAUUUUUGUGUUUUUUUUUUUGGAAGAAAAUCAUUUUUUUGUGUUUGAGAAAAUCAUUAUUUUAAACAAAUUGCUCAAACGCUUUUUUUAAGAAAUUAUUAUCCUAGGAGAAAAUUCACCAGGCUAGGUUUCUUUUUUUUUGUAUCUUAGGAGAAAGAUUCAUCAGACUAAGAUUCUUUUUUUUGGUAUCUUAGGAGAAAGAUUCAUCAGACUAAGAUGUAUAUCCUAGGAGAAAAUUCAUCAGACUAGGUUUUCUAUCUUAGGAGAAAUAUUCAUUAGACUAAGAUUUCGAUCCGAGGAGAAAAGUUCAUCAGACUAGGUCUUUUUUUGGUAUCUUAGGAGAAAGAUUCAUCAAACUAAGAUUUCUAUCCUAGGAGAAAAUUCGUCAGACUAGAUUUUCUAUCUUAGGAAAAAGAUUGAUCAGACGAAGAUUUUGAUCCUAGGAAAAAGUUCAUCAGACUAGGUCUUCUAUCUCAGGAGAAAGAUCCAUCAGCCUAAGAUUUUGAUCCUAGGAGAAAAUUCAUCAAACUAGGUCCUUUUUUGUUAUCUUAGGAGAAAGAUUUAUCAGACUAAGUUUUGUUUUGUUAUCUUAGGAGAAAGAUUCAUCAAACUAAGAUUUUUAUACUAGGAGAAAGAUUCAUCAGACUAAGUUUUCUUAUCUUAGGAGAAAAGAUUCAUCAGACUAAGAUUUUGAUCUUAGAAGAAAGUUCAUCAAACUAGGUUUUCUAUCUUAGUAGAAAGAUUCAUCAGACUAAGAUUUUUAUUGGGAGGAAAAUCCAUCUGACUAGGACUUUUUAUCCUAGGAGGAAAAAUAUGGAGAUCAAUGGCAAGGUUUUGUGCACAAUGGCAAGGUUUUGUGCACAAUAGCAAGACAAAUAAAGGCGAAUAUUUGAGGAACUUCCCUUUGUCGGCUCUUCUCUUCUUUUCUUUUUCUUCUCUUUUUUUUUUGUUUUUUUUUCUUUUUUUUGAACCACUUUCCUUGAACUGCCUUGUUCCUGUUUCACACAAAGAAAAAUUUGUCAGUUUUGAAAAUGGUGGUCAGUUUGUAGCCUUGAGUCUUGGGCAACUUGGCUUCUUCUCAAUCAGCUUGAGUCGGUUUCAAGAAACUUUUGCUCUACAUAAACCCUAAUUAUUUCACACCCAGUACCAUUUAUAUUUGUGGCUCAAUCAGCCUUAUCCCAACUGGAGAUCUUUUCUUAGAUGACCUUUUCUGAUAUCUUGAGUGACUUCCUGCUUUUGAGCAAUUUGUCUGUCAGAGAGAAUCACAAGUUAUCUUUGCUUGCGCCAAGUAGGUUGACAAGAGUCUUUUGGGGGAGCUUUUGCAUGAAUCCUAAAGGCAUGUUACAAGUAGGAACUGAGUAUGCUGGCCAAAUUUACUUUGUGCAACUAAAAAGCUGGUAGCAGAUUUUGAAAUCUUUUUUUGCUUGUUUUGACAGGACUAACUUAGAGUGAAGGACACAAUAAUGCAAAGAAACAAGUAUUAACAAGAAGUGCCCCUGUUGGAAGGACGGAAGGAAGAGUUUUUUUUCAAUAACUAGCCUUAAUGAUCAUGACAUGCAUUUUGGACUUGAUAGUCAAUCUAUCAAACUAACCAAAUCUUUUCUUUUACCAUUCUUAUGACCUUUGAAGUCGGGCUUGUUCGUGAUGAUCCUUUGCAUCGGCUUCAUGACUCACUUUCGACAAGUGUUGGCCCAAGGUGUUUUCACGAACCAGUCUCUCUCAUUUAUUCAUCUCUGCUUACCGUCGUCUUACAGUGCCCAUGAGGGUUUUUAAUAGUAAGACUCUCUCAUUUUUCUUCUUUAUUUUUCUUUUUCUUUUGCUUUCUUGUGCGAGCAUCUUGACAGUGUUCUAUGUCGUGUGAAAACUAUUGUUCAUUGCAUGCGUCUCUUGGCAUUCUUGAAGGCUGAAUAGGAGGUCUUUAUUUGGAAGGUUUUUGGAUAGGGUUGGAAAGAAAUGACGUCAUGAAAUUUUAAAAUAGACUCAAAGUAAAGGGUUGUAGAUUUACAACUCUUGGAAUCGACUCUUUCAAAAGUGAAAUAAAAUCUUUUCCCCAGUUUCAGCUAUUGGGAUUUUUUUUUUUUGGAAUUCUUAUUUGGUUGGACCAAACCGUGAGGUUGCCUACGUAUCCUUUAUUAAGGAAUCAGGUCGAACGUAGUUCAAACAUCUGACCUAACUAUUUUUCAUCUUUGUUUCUGUUUCGUUUUUUUUCUUUUUCUAUUUUUUACUUUUCGUUUUCAAAACAAGUUGCCCCAAUUUCUAUUUUCUGGGCGCAUGGACCAUUGACAGUUCUUUUCUUCUUCAUCUUUUUUCACUUGAAAUUUCUAUGAAUUGCCCCAGUUUGUACUCUUGAGACAUUGAAUUUUUUUAUUUUUCUUUUUUUUUCAUUUUUUGUUUUUUUAAUCUUCAUUCUAUACUUGAUUCCAAAAGAGGGUGGUCAAAGAAAAUAACACAAGUUCAAAAGGGGUAACAAAGGGUAUAAAGUGUUUGGAUAGCAAAAAGGGCCUCCCAGCCUCGAGAACGUCAAUUAUAGUAUCUUUUCGCGAUCACAUCAUUGAUGAACAUGCUUGUCUUCUUGGGUCUUUUUUAGUAUAAAGCUGUAUGAGCAAUACUUUCCUCGCUGUGAAUGACCCUUGUCAAUUUGGGUGACUUUCCUUGGAUUUUGUCUUGAUUUAGAAGAUGUAUUUUGCAAUUUUCAUGUUGUCUGGAAUACACCUUCUAUUGAAAACACUUUCUAUCUCUUAGUGCUAAACAAACUUCAACCCAUCCCAUUAUCCUUAAGCCCGAUCUUCUCAAAUGACUCAAAAGGUAGAGAUCCUUAACUUCCAUGAGCAUGACUAUUUUGGUUCCAUAUAAAAUUGGCUCAUGCUUAUUGUUUAAAUGUUUUAUGUCUCUAUUCAUCUUCGAAAAUGUCUCUUUCUCACUUAUCCAAUUCAAGACUAAAUCAGUUUUCUAAGAUCUGGCCAAAAUUCCGCAUGCAUGUCAUGUCAUUAGAACUAGCAUGAAAAGAACUAUGCACAAAAUGGCUAACUACUUUUGUUUAAUUGAAUAAAGGAUAGAAAGGUCCAAUAGCACAAAAAGAAGAAGAAAAGAUGACAAAAUAAGCUACCAUGACUGAAGGAGGAGUGACUUUCUAGUUACUAAGCGAUAUCUUAGCCACACAUUCGCACAUCAGCACUACUAUGGCAUUUGACCAUUUUGAUUUCUUUGGAUUCAACACUCAAAUUUUGACAAUCAUCCCGAGCAGCCCAUGUCUUAUUGCUCAAAUCUGGUAAAGUCAACCUCACAUUUGCCUCCAUUAAAUUUUUUGCCGCCAAAUUGCCUACUUGCCCUCUCGUGAUCUUGGAUCAACAACAAUGGUGCUUGUUCCAUUGGUUGAGAAGAUGUUUUUAUUUUUGAAAGAUCUUGGAUUGUUUUUGUGACUCGCCAUUGCAAACCAACUACCUUUGACUAGCUUUUAUUUCAAAACAACAGGCAUGUUAGAAUAAACACUCUCUUUCUUUUCUCUUUUUUUUUGUUUUUAACCAUUCGAUCGAACUUGAUGUGGGUUGCCUACGUAUCAUGACGCCGCAUUAAUCAGAUCUUUGCAUAGUUCGAGAAGAUCAGGAAUAAAGUAAAUAAACUAACUUUUUUUGGAUUUUGAAUUUUAUUUUACUUUUUCGAAAGAAAGACUUAUAAAGAAGAAAGAGAAUAGUUUUGGAUUUUGAUUUUUCUUCAGAAUGUUUGCAAAGAAAGACUUCUAAAGAAGAAAGAUUUUUUUUUUUGAAUUUAUGAAAGAAAUACUUCUAAAAAAAGAAAAUAUUUUUGAAUCUUGAAUUUUCUUUUCAAUUUUUGAAGAACAAAAAAAAAAUUGGAUUUUGAGAAGAAACUAAAAGAAAAUAUUUUUCUAUAUUUUAUUUUUUUAAAAAAAAUUGGGGUCUAAAAGAAAGAAUUUCUAAGGAAGCAAGUAAUGGAAAAUAUUUUUGGAUUUUUUUUUAAAAGAAAUUGUGGUCCCAAAGAAUGACUUUUCUAAAGUAAAGGAAAAUAUUUUUGAAGUUUUUUUUAAAAUGUGGGCCGGAACCGAUGAGGUUUGCCUACGUAUCUCAAAUUCGGUAAGAAACAGACCCGCGUAGUUCGGCCGUUUUGACAUAAUUGAAAAAACAUGAUGUUGACUCACUUUCAUUUUUUUGAAAUACAUUUUGUGUUUCUCUUUUUUUCAAAAUUUUGGCAGAAUUUCGAGGCAUUUUAAAUGUGAUGACCCAAAAGAUCAUCACUUGUGUUGCAAUAAAAUUCUACAUUCCGAGGACUUAAAAAACCUCCCUAAGCACCACCUCGAUUUGCGUGCAUCGUCCGGACGCAUAGCCUGAAAGCUUAAAUGUGAAAAUCUGUGAAAAAUGAUAAGUUUUGACGGUAAAAUGAAUAAAUUUGACUUCAAUCAAUAUUUUGGGUAAACGGACCCGGACCCGUGAUUUGACGGUCCUGGAGGGUCCGUAGGAAAAUAUGGGACUUGAGCGUAUGCCUGGAAUCGGAUUCCGAGGUCCCAAUCCCGAGAAACGAAUUUUUUAAAGAAAAUUAUUUUCUAAAAUUGUUUAAAGAAAUUUGAAAUGAAAUUUGUUUAGAACAUGGUGGUAUCGGGCCCUUAUUUUGGUUCAGGCAUCCGGUACUGGUCUUAUAUAUGAUUUAAGACAUUUCUGUGAAAUUUGGUGAAAAACGGAUGUCAUAUGACUGUAUUCGGACUUAAAUCGCAAAAUUUAUGUUUAACGAAGUUUUGAGAAAAUUUCAUUGAUCUCGAGAUUUAAUGUGAUGUUCAUGAUGUUAUUUUGAUUAUUUGAUUACACGAAUAAGUCCGUAGGAUGUUUUUGAGGUUUUGUGUGCGCUUGGUAUGGAGUUCCAAGGGCUCGGGUGAGUUUUGGGUAGGUUUCGGGGGGUCUAAGGCUUAAAAACUGAGCUUUUGCAGGCUCAGAGUGGUAGAGGACCUCUGAACAGGCAUGCGGUCUGCACGAUAUGGACUGUUGCCACGGAGAAGCCUGUGCGGCCGCACUAGUUUUGGUGCGGUCCGCGAUGAAGAACAAUUUACUGGUCCAACUUCGGAAGUCUAUAUCUUUUUAUCUACAGAGAAUUGUGAGAUAUUUCAAAAACAAAAGUUGUAGCUCUUCGUGUCUAGUUUCCAGAAAUGCAAAGAAUUCACAAUUUGGACAUCUUUAGAGAAAGUUAUGGCCGAAAUACGUAGACCUGUCACUGCAGAACACAGGAAGCCUGUGUGGCCGCAGUUGAUUUUGUGCGGUCCGCACACGACAUCUGAGGGCAGUAUAUUUAGACGGGAUUUUCAGUUAUUUUUCAUUUUUUAAGACCCCAAAAACAUAAGAGGCGAUUUUUCAAACAACCUUUCUUCUCCAAAGCAAUUGUAAGAAGUUUUUAACUAGUUUUCUUCAAUCAUUAACAUCUUUUAACAUGAUUUCAACUUCAAAUCAAUGAUUUUCAUUGGGGAAAUUAGGUGUUUUGGUAGAACCUAGGUUUUUCAAAAAUUGGGUAUUUCGACCUCGAUUUGAGGUCCGAUUUCAAAACAAAUACAUAUUUGAGCUCGUGGGGGAAUGGGUAAUCGGGUUUGGUUUAAACCUCGAUUUUGACCACGUGGGCCUGAGGGUGAUUUUGACUUUUUGGGGUAAAACUUUAGAAAACUCAUUUUCAUGCAUUCAAAUUGAUUCAUUUAAUGUUUAUUGAUGUAAUUAAGUAACUUGUAGCUAGAUACGAGCGAAUUGACGGAGGAAUCAAGGGGUAAAGCUAUAAUUGAAACUUGAGUUGUGUUCGAGGCAUCGAGGUAAGUGUUUAGUCUAACCUUAGCUUGAGGGAUUAGGAGUUAUGUCAUAUUUGCUAAUUGCUUCUUGUUGAGUACGACGUAUAGGCAUGGUGACGAGUAUCUAUACGUUGGUGACAAGCAUGACCGUGGGUCUUAUUUUGUGAUUUUCAUGACUUCGUUGUAUUAUUCAUGCCAUGGUGAAGAUUUCUAUUUGUUGUGUAAAGUUGUGGAAAGAAUUGUGACCUAUGAACAUUGAGGAGCGUUGGCUCCAGUAGUAUAACGAAUUGUGAAAUUAUAAGUGAUAAUUGAAACUCUAGAGUAUUGGUUCGAGUUGUGAAGUGAAUUGUGAAGUAAAAGUGAGAAGGAGAAGAGAUCAUUAUGUUUCCCCCUUACUGGGCUAUUUUUGAGUUGUGGUUCCCUUGCAUUGUGUUCUUAAUUGAUAUUACGAAUGCAUAGGUUGAUUCUUUGGGUUAGGUGUUGUAACAAGUUUAGUUAUAGCUGAGGUAGUUAGGUGUCGUAACAAGUUUGGUUAUAGCUGAGGUAGUUAGAUGUUGUAACACGUUUGGCUAUAGCAGAGGUAGUUAGAUGUUGUAACAAGUUUGGCUAUAGCAGAGGUAGUUAGAUGUUGUAACAAGUUUGGCUAUAGCUGAGGUAGUUAGAUGUUGUAACAAGUUUGGUUAUAGCUAAGGUAGUUAGAUGUUGUAACAAGUUCGGUUAUAGUUGUUUCUCCCUUGCCGGGAUAUUGUGAGAUAUCAUUGUUUUCUUACCGGGAUGUUUGUUGAUAUUAUUGUUCCCUUGCCGGAAUUCCUUGUGAUUAUUGUUGGCUUGUAAUUGGGAGCGGGUGGUACGCCUACCACAAGAUACAAUGAAAUGUGAGCGGGUGGUACGCCUACCACAAGAUACAAUGAAAUGGGAGCGGGUGGUACGCCUACCACAAGAUACAAUGAAAUGGGAGCGGGUGGUACGCCUACCACAAGAUAUAAUGAAAUGGGAGUGGGUAGUACGCCUACCACAAGAUACAAUGAAAUGGGAGCGGGUUGCACGCCUGCCACGAGAUACAUGAAAUGGGAGCGGGUGGCAUGCCUGCCACAAGAUAUGAGAAAUGGGAUCGGGUUGCACGCCUGCAACAAGAUGUGAAAAGAAAGUGAAAUCUGCCUUUGUUUUUCUUUAAUCUUGUUAGUGGUUGGAUUCCUUUAUAUUCUAUUGAUAUUCUGUUUUUACUUGUUUUUCCCCGAAGUAUGUUCCCCCCUCCCUAGUUUUAAUUGUUUAUUUUCGUAUUUCUUUUCCGCUAUAUAUAUUUGAACUUCAUAGGUUUAUUUGGUAGUUUGGUCCUGGCCUCAUCACUACUUCGUUGAGGUUAGGCUAGGCACUUACCAGCACAUGGGGUCGGUUGUGCUGAUAAUACACUCUGCACUCUUUUGUGCAGACCCCAGUGUUGUGGACUUCGGACCGUGGUGAGAUUGUUGAUUCUUGAUCAUCAGGCGACCCGAGGUAGUCCUGCAGGCAUCCGCGGGCCUUGGCGUCCCCUUCUAUCUACUAUUCCUAUUUUUUUCAUGCAUUUCUAGAGACAGUGUUGUAUUUAUUUCUUUCAGAACCUUUAUUUGUAGUAUUCUUAGACCGUCUGUGAAACUGUGACACCAAUUCUGGGUGAUUAAGGUUUAAGCUGUUGUAAUAGAUAUAUGUUCAGAUAUUCUAUUGUUUUCUUCCACUUAUUCUGAAUUUCCGUUGUUUACCCGUUAUUGUUUUAUAUAAUGUUAAAGAGAAUAGAAAUUGGUAAAAAGGUAAAUUGUCUAAUAAUUGGCUUGCCUAGCUAACAUUAGUAGGCGCCAUCACAACUCCCGAGGGUGAAAAAUUUGGGUCGUGACAUUAAAUACUGGGUUUUCAGAACCGGGUGAAUUCUCUAUCCUACCUCACUCUUGGUUUUUCUGUUGUUUUUCUUUUGUUAGCCGGUCAAUAUAUAAACCGAAAAGAAUAAAUGUACACAUAGCAUGUAAGAUACAUCAGGAUGGUCUGGUCUUUUGGGUACACCUGUCCUAGACGGACCCAACCCCUGUGUUGAGUCCCCAAAGUUAAAUGCACGUGAUGCAAACAAACGCUCCUACUAGGGAUCCGGCAUGAGGUUAUGUUAUUCUAGGUUUAAACCUUGGGUUGUGUUCUUGAUCAGGCUUACCCGAGCGGACAACUCGAGCCGAAGAGUGGGCAAACGUACCGGGAGCACGAAAGUCUACCCGGCCUUGUUGCUGGCCCAGCCUCGUUCUAUUUGGUAUAACUUCUAACAGAAAAGUGGGCCACGAACGUGUGCACCAUUUUUUAGAAGACUCAGGUGGGAGGCGUAAGAAAACAAUUUAAUAUAAUUCAAAUAAUAUCAAAGCGGUAAAUAAGCGGCAAUAAGCACAUUAGGUCCACAAAUACAGUAAUAUCAACAAAUAAUAAAGCCAAGCAUAGAUCAUAUUAACAAGCUCGAAUUCUGAACCCUGAACCAAAGAUCAUGGGUUCUUUUCCCCAGCAGAGUCGCUAGAGCUGUCACACCUCCUUUUUACACCCAAGAGGGGAUAUAAGGGAGUUUUUCAAAUUAAAGUGAUAUUAUUCGAAAUUGGAUUAUUUAUUUAAUUUUCAGAGUCUCCACUUGGAAUAAUUUAUGGUGUCCCAAGUCACCGGUUUAUUUUAAAGACCAAAUCGAGGAAAUUUCGACUUUAUUUUAAAAGUCUGCGAACCAGAAAUUCUACGUAAGGAAUUUUGUUAACCCGGGAGAAGGUGUUAGGCAUUCCCGGGUUCCGUGGUUCUAGCACGGUCGCUUAGUGAUUUGUACUUAGCUUAAGUCGUUUAACUACUCAUUUUUAGGACUUAUGUGCAUUUAUCUUUUUACCGCUUUUAAUCACUUGAUUUGUUCGUAAUGAAAGAAUUGAGUUAUGCGUACGUAUACUCAUUUCCUUUGGCGCGUCAAAAAUCAUGUCAUGCGUACGUGUCCAUAAUUAAUCACGCUUUAUUAAUUAAUAAGAAAACUUGGUUGAAGUUGCGCGAACGCAUCCCUCGAUUUAUUUUUUAGAAUUAAAUUCGUAAUUCUGUUAUGCGAACGUAUAUAUAAUCACAAUAAUAGUCUAAGCCAUGCCUAAAGCAAACUAACAGUGUUCAUUAUUCUUCCUAAAAUUUGAGAUUAUUGUGAGGCUUAAGAGUUAUACAUCCUUCUGACUUAGCACCACUCAUGGCAUAUUAUUAUUCCUUGCCAAGAAAGAAAUAACUCCAAAUUUUCCAUCUACCCAAAUUAAAAGCAUUUAUUCGAGAACCAAGACUACGUACAUCACAAUCGAAAUAAAAACUAAUUAAAAUAAUUUAAUUUCAAACUAAGUCAUGCCACUCAAACAAUGUAGAAACAAAAAUCAACCAACACACGCACCAAGCUAUUGUAAGAACAAUGAAAUGAGAAUAAAAAUUGAGAAAUAGGCCUUUUAUUGAUGAACAAAACUAAAUAUUGCAAAUCAAUCAGGCUGAACAAGGCAACAAUCUUGAGAUUGAAACAUCAAAAUUAAGAAUCGGAACCUCAAAUCGACACAGGAGAGCUCGAAACCCAAAUCGACCUCAGAUAAACUAGAACCUCCAAACAUCUGACAAAGCAGACCAUCUCUUAAUAUUUUUGCUCUUUAAAAUGUUUACCACUGCCGAAAACUUUGUGAACAGGAUGUUCCCUACCAAAAAGCCGACGAACUUUAGACUUAAACCACGACGUUACGGGAGGAGAUGACGUUGUUUUCUUAUCGUCAUCAGAAUAAGAAAAAGACGAAGAAGAGUGAUGGUUAUUAUUACUGAGAUAAAGUGUUUCAGUGAUUUUAUUUUUUAUAGAUUCUCUGGCUCAUCCGAUUUCUCCACUUUACACUCCUCGUGUUCCUACAUUAUCAGUAAAGUAAAACCCAAAUCUUGAAAUUCAGUCAAGUUAUGUGUCUAUUGUAUCUGAGAGAAAAAGUUGUAAAGAUUCAUUUUUGUGUGUUUGUAUUUCUUUCACUUUUUAAUUUUUUUGGAACAAAACAAGGAAAAGAUCAUAGAAUAAAGAUGAAAAACCUUAGCAAUCCUGUCGUUUUUAGUGUAGCUCCUAAGUCUAGGUAUUGAAAACUUAGGGUUGGGUUCCUAUAAUUGGGUAUUUUAUAUGGAGGUGGAAAGGGAUGAUGGCAAUUGGAUUAGAAGGGAAUAGAUGGCUAGGAUUAAAUCUUGCACUUAAGUGGGCUAAUGGGUUGGGAAGAAUGGGCUAAGGGUAAUUGGGUUGGACCAUGUCUUUUGGAUUUGAACUUAGGCUAAAAAGACCAAAUAAUACAAUGUAUCUAUAAAAAUGUAAAAAUCACUCUAAAUUAAAAUAAACUAAUAUAAAACUAAACACUACGAGUGAAACUAAUUUUUUGUAUUUUCAAAUGUUAUAAUACUAUAAAUAUAAAUAUACUAAUUGACUUUAACCUAAAGAUGAAAAUAUUUAUUUUAUUUUUUUUNNNNNNNNNNNNNNNNNNNNNNNNNNNNNNNNNNNNNNNNNNNNNNNNNNNNNNNNNNNNNNNNNNNNNNNNNNNNNNNNNNNNNNNNNNNNNNNNNNNNNNNNNNNNNNNNNNNNNNNNNNNNNNNNNNNNNNNNNNNNNNNNNNNNNNNNNNNNNNNNNNNNNNNNNNNNNNNNNNNNNNNNNNGUAAUUUUUAUUUUUUGUGAUAAAAUAAAGUAAAAGAGUCAAAACUAUUUAAUAUAAUGAUAUUAAACCUAAACUAAAUAUUUUACGCUAAAACGUGUAAAAUCUUGGGGAGGGUCAAAAAUUACAUGUCUACAGACUAGGAAUAUUAUCCUUCCAACCAUGUUGUAGCCAAUUCUGAUAGUAUUCAUUCUAGGUCCAAUGACCUCAUCUCAUCCAACACAACCACUCUAAUGACAUGACACAUCAAUACAGUCCAAAGCCAUAACCUGUGCAACUCGUGCACCCAAUAGCAACAUCCCCAAAUGUACUCAAAUCAUGAAAAAAAUGACUCAAACGGGAGGACUAUCCCGCAAGCUUAACAAGUACUGCCACAAUGAAAUACUGUAAAUUCAUCACACCCCGUAGGACCAUCACACGAAUCUAACACAGGUUCAUACCUCAACAUAAUUUUGCUGCAAUGUGUGCCCCAUCCAAACACUAAUCCAUGGCAUAUACCUCAAGCCACCUUGCUCAAAAUCAAUAACCACGCGCAACGACAUCAAGUACUCAAAGUGCAUUACCAUAACCAUGGAGAAGCAAAUGACAUAACACCACAUGAAACCCGAAAGAGCAUAACCAAUAUGCUAUACAUCAAGCGAUAUCCAAUACUCUUCUCGCUCAAAUCCGUUAUAGGACUCCAAUAGAACCACACUAUAUGUGUAUACAACCAACAAAUCAUGACCCCUCAUAAUAUAGAAGAGUAGCUCAUAGAUCACUCCAGAACACGAAUAAGCUCAACAAUAAUCGAAUGGCACAUCCCUCAAUAAUAGCAAUUCAAAGUCAACAAAUCUGACCCGGUACAGAACACACCUCCAUGUUGGGCCUACCAAUGAACCCCAAAUCUACUCUGGUCCCCCACGAUAGAUAAAUAACCCUCUGAAAGUCUAAAUGACUGAAUCACAACAUAUACUAACCUCUGACUAAACUUGGAUACUUUUUACGGUCGACAACCACGAAACAAUCUACUCACCAGAACUCUCAAUCUCUAAAUCCAUAGAAUAUACGAAUCACCAUCUCUGAUCUCAACUCCACCGCCUAAAUGCCCAUACUUCUCCAAUUACACAGUCACCCCACGAGGAAUACUUCUAGAAGUCUUCUAUACCACAAAGCAAAAAUUGAACUCCAGCAGUCGAUCAAACAAGAGAGUGUCGCAAUACCAAUAAAGUAUCCAUAACUCCCACACAUCGCCCUUUCUGAAAUGUAUAAUCUCAUUAAGCCAUACCAGUUAGUAAUAUCAUUUACCUAGUCAUCAGAAAUUGUCCAUGUUGCUUAAGAAUUUAUGACCUUCCUUUCAGAAUUGAACUGUGACCUUACACAUGCAAAUCCCAACCUUACACAACUUACCACAUAUACCAUGUCAUCCCAUGAUAAAUAUGAGAACUUCAUAAUCCACUUCGAGUCACAAGCAACUAAGUACUCAACUAGCCAAGAACUUUUCAUUUGACCCCAUCUAGGAGAAGAUCACUACACAUCACAUGAUCCUCACGCCAGUAGAAGAUAUACCUCUCUAACCAUGGUAGAAACCACCAAGAACUCUCUGAAUCCCAUUUGCUCAAAACCCAACCGUCAGGAUUGAAUCCUUCUACCCCAACCAAGCUACACAUGUCACCAAAACUCAAGCGCAUCACCACGAAACACAUGUAGAAACUCAUUACCUCAUAAACACCCAAAGAACUAAUCAUACCCAUUACCAUGUCAAUCCAACCUACUACCAAGCUAUCCUAUUUAUUCGAGUUCCUUCUGAAUUGCAUUCACAUUGAUACUUCUCCUCACCAUAAUACCUCAAUCCUCAAUCCAGACUCACCACAUGAGACCCUAACAUAAACCACACUGCCCUAAGGCUCAUAAGCCGCUGAAUGCUCUCUUAAGCACCCCAAAAGUACCACAAUCGAGAUACUCACUCCAAAGAGACCUUCUAUGAAUUUCAAGUUGUUCAUCUUACUUUCUUGAUACUGAAAUGUAUAAUCCACAAUGAUGUAGAAACACUGCGAGCCUCGACACUAUCCAAUGUAACUCUUAGCUUCAAGCCACAUACGAACCCCCAAAAAUUCUCAAUUGCCAUAUAUAAAUAUUGAAUUCAUUAGAACCAUUCUCGAGAGUUAUCCACUCUGCUUAAAUCUUGAUUAGACAGAUCAAAUGGGCUAAUCGACCUUAGCCCCAUUAGCACUCCAACACCCAAGGAUGUAACCCCACCUAAAUGCAACCAGAUAAAUUUCUGCUCCACGAACAUUAUAUCCUUAACCAAUAAGAACUCAAAUCAUUCCAUGAUUCUCAUAUACUCAUAUAAUCUAAUAAAACUCAUACCCAGAAAUUUCCUUUACUCGAGUCAUCCUUGAUCUCAACCUCUGCAAGUCAUAACUGAUUCACCAGUAUACCUCAAACUGAAACUAAUAUGACACUUAGUCGUGCAAUCAACUUAUCAAUAGUAGACUCCCCCCUUGGAUAAAAGCCAUAGAUCAAAACACACAAAAACUCACAAUGUCCAUACUCUAUUACUUCCAUAAUACCAUAGUGAGAUUGAACUAAAUCCUUCAUAAGCUUGUUCAACACAACCAUCUAGUACUUCAAUCAUCUACAAAUCUCGCAUUUACCCUCGUAAUAGUCAAGACAACUCUCAUACGCGAUCCAAACUCAAUCUGCAGCAUAUAUAAUUCACUGGUAAAGGAAGACUCGCUACAAAAGAGCAUAGGGAUCACACGCCCUCAGGACACCCUACAGGAGAUAACCCACCUACUUUGCCUCAAACUAACAUCUCUUUAUACCUUUCCACCAUCAUAAACAUCACGCAAUCACUUAAUAUUCCUGAGUCUGAACUCAUAUCAUGACAUAAAAUCUACUUCGUUCCCCAACUAAACAAUAUGAAAAGAUCCUUCAACACACCCAUAACUCGGGGCUAUUCAUCAAAUCAAGAUGGAAAUCAAGAACCAAAUAGUUCUUUCUACCCUCAAGAAGACCCUCCUCAUCACAUCCAAAUCAUAUGAACAUAUCUCGCAGUCACAUCAUACUCAUCACGUAGCCAUCCAGUCAUUACUUCCACUAAUAUGGACACUACCGAACAUAUAAAUCCAAAAGCACGCUCUCACACAAUCAACACCUUAGUGCUCAAGCUAGAGGCAAAGCCCGGACCCAAGUCAUCCAGACUGGCCCAACAUCAACACACAAAAAUCACAUCUCGCCUCUCAUUUAGGGAAUCACAAGCCGUCGAUGCACAGCUGAUACCAAGUGCUCAUGCGCGCAUAUGAAUGCGUGGAAGGAAUUUCAAGAGUUACAUUUCAAGAUGAAUCAAUGCCGCACGACAAGAAUUUCAAGAAUGUGGGAUUUCCUAAAGGUUUUGCAGCCUCUCAAAGAUAGGUACAGACGUCUUUGUACCAAUCCGUGAGACUCUACUAAACCUUUCAUGACUCGUGAGACCUAUGUAACCUAGGCUCUGAUACUAACUUGUCACGAACUAAAACUAACCCUAUCGUGAUGGCGCCUAAAGUGGUACUAGGCAAGCCGAUACACUACCAAACCCAAUCACUAUUUUUAUUUUUAAGACAAAACCAAAGUUAUUUAACAAUAAACCAGCAUAAGGAGCUUAAAUCAAAACAACAGUGCGGAAAAAAAGCCCGACAUCAGGGUAUCACUAGUCAUGAGCAUUUACUACAACCGUCUGACAACAUCAAGACUAACAUAGCCUAAAAAUAACUGAAUACAACUAAGGGAGGAUAAAGAGGGAGAAAAGUAGGGCUGGGAUUGUCAGGCAGCUACCUUACUAACUCUGAUGGACCGUCCAUUGAUUAAUCAACACCCGCUAUCGGGUUUAGAAAUACCCGGAUCUACACACAAUGUGCCGGGAGUAAUGUGAGUACAUCAACUCACUAAGUAAUAAAAGUAAAUAGAGACUGAGCAGUAAAACCAUUUAAAACAUCUUUCAACAGUCUUCAAUGAAGUGAUGAAACAGUGAGUAAAAAUGGUGAAAACAUAUACAGCCCCUUAGGCAAAACUCACUCGUAUAUAGCCCCUCGGCAAACAUCACUCGUGAACAUCCCCUCGGGCAAACAUGAAUCAUAAACAGCCUCUCGGGCAAACCUCACAAUCACUCAUAUACAGACCCUCGGGCAUUACUUCAUAUCACUCGUAAACAGCCCCUCGGGCACAAUAUGAAUCAAGAACAGCCCCUGGGGCAAAACAUCGUAUCACUCACUCAGGGUACCCAUGCUCACUAGGGCUGUACAGACUCCGGAGGGGCUCCUACAACCCAAGCACUAUAACAAGUGACCUCGUGGAAUAAAUCAAUCAGGCCCUCCUUUUUAUCACUCGAGGGGUAUAUAAGAGAGUUUUUCCAAUUAAAGUGACAUAAAUCGAAAUGGAAUUAUUUUAUUUAUUUAUCAGAGUCUCCACUUAGAAUAAUUUAUUUGGUGUCCCAAGUCACCGGUUUAUUUUAAAUCCUAAGUCGAGGAGAAUUUGGACUUUAUUUAAAAUCUGCAAAACCAGAAAUUCUAGAUAAGGAAUUCUGUUAACAUGGAGAAAGUGUUAGGCAUUUUCGAGUUUCAUAGUUCGAGCACGGUCGCUUAACUAUUAAUAAUUGGCAUAUUAUCUAAUUUAUUACAUGUUUUAAACCUAGUGUGCAUUUUUAAAUUUAUUUAUUUAAAUCGCUUUUUAGGAUAUAUGGAAUUUAUUUUUUUGAACAAGUUACGAUUAUCGUACACUUGUCAUUUUGGAACAUACCGCAAAACACGCCACAUGAAAUGCACCCGUGAUUCGCGAUAUGUUUAUUUUAUUAUUGUUCAAAGUUGUUAUGAUCGGGUCACAUGAAGUGCACACCUGAAUUUGGGUUAGGUAUCAUGACUAUGCCACGGGAAUCGUACCCACAGUCACGAUGAUUUAUUAAUCGCGCCUAAAGCAAGCUACGAUGUAUUUAUUUGGUCCUAAAUUGAAUAUGUAGUUUAUUUGGUCCUCGAGUUGUCUUAUAUUUUAGAAUUUAUUAGUAGUUGGAUAAGGAACUCAUUUAGCCUUUGACUUUUUAACCUGAAGCUAUCUUUGGCUUUUCUGCAUUGUGUUCCACCAAAUGGUUGAUUGAAGUCAAGCGCAAGAGCCAAAUGUAUUUGCAUUUUCAAAUAAUAUCAAAACACAUCCAAGGAAAGGAAGUAAGGAAUAAAAAGGGAAACUAUGCCAUGUUCAUUAUAAAGGGUUAUGUGUACAGAUUUACCAACCCUAAGUAUCUCACAGAAUGAAGCUAAAGGCAAAAAAAACACAGUAUCUUAUAAUCGAGGGAAAUCGCAGAAAAACAAAGCGAACACUUGACGAGCUGUGAAAGUAUAUCAUACACAUAUGUCAUCAAACACAGGAAUAAAAAGCAAAUCCAUCUAAUUAGCUUUCAUCAAACACAGAAAUAACCAAAACAUGCAGCAAAUUUAAAAUAAAAAGUAGCAGACCGGUACUUGGGCAGAACGAACAAAAUAGCUUAUCAUAGCUAAAGCACAUGUCAUAGGUAUAAAUUAUAUAUACUGUUUUUCAACAAACAAACAACCACAUUAAGACCACAUCCUUAGGAAUUGAUUAAGUGCUACUGAUUACUAACAACAUGAGGACAUUGAACAGGGUGAUUUCAAACCAUUAUAUGCCUAUUUGUAUUAAUUUGUUACCGUUUGAAAUAAGAUCUCAAAACACAAACAAAUCGUAUAGCAUUAUUAGGAAAGGAUAAUUGCAUAGAUACAACAAUAAUCAGAAAUUCAUUGAAGACAAAAGGAAUUCAUUCAUUUUUUGACUUAACGGUGGCGUAAAUCACAACAAAGUACCUGCGUGUGUAGAUAUCACCUCCAAAACUCCAACUAAAGGCUAGAUGAGAAAUGAGCUUAGCACAGCGGAAAACCAAUAGAUCCGAACAAGGAGCAACAGCAAAUUUUCAACCAUAGUAGCAUUUUAAAACCCAGAAAAAUAGAAACAAACAGUAGCGGUUUGUUCCAGCCUUGGAGCUCGUCAGCGAGGGAAGCUCAGGCACAAGAGGGAUUUAUAGGAGGAGAAAUUGAAGUGUUGAUGGCUGUUUUUGGGACUUUUUGGUAUAGGAAUUUCAGUUGGGUUUUCAGAGCUUUUACAUGGGUUUGGGGCUGAUUUGAGCUCGAGUAUUAGAGCUGAAAAUGGUGGUGUUCGUGGUGUUCUAAGAGAGGUCCAUGGCUGAAAUUUUGGGCUAAUCCCAUCCCCCUUUCGUUUUUCUUUUCCCGGAUCCCCUCUCUCACUGUAUCGUCCUACCUUCCUCUCUAUCUAUGUGUGUCUUUUUUCAAUUGAAAGAAAGAAGCCAUCUCAAAUCAGAAGGGGAAAGAGGCUGAGGUACUACCGCUAGAAGCUAAUCUCAGAGGAAAGGAUUUGUUGUCUUUGCUCUCUGUUAGAAGUGAGGAAGAAGAAGAUGGGUGAGCUAUUUUGGAAGAUGAUGAGGGAAUGCAGAAGAAGGGGAAAAGCUGCGCUGUUUUGGGUGUUAGGGAUCUCCUCAAAUAAGGUCUAUUAAUGUGUGUUAGGUCUGGGGAUUUAAGGGUAAAAAUGGGGAACGGGAAGAUUGGGCUGGGGUUUAAAAGUUAAUUUGAGUCAUAUUUGGAAUUGGCCCAAUUUUAAAAGAAACAAGACCAAAAAUAUAUUCUUUCUAUUUUUAUUUUCUUUGUUUUUUUUUUCCUUUUUCUUUUUCUUUGAUUUUAAAUUCUAAUUAAAUUAAUUAAGAUCCUAAAUCAAUUUAUUUUUUGUAGAAAUUAAAAUUCUUUAUUUAUUUUUAACAUUAAACGACUAAUUAACUUAAAACUAAAGAAAAAUACUAAUUUUAAAGACUAAACUCUAAAUAUGUAACAUGACUAUUUUUUGUGAUUUUGGCUUAAUAAAAUUAAUUCCUAGAUGCAAAUUGAACCUAAGAUGGCAUGAAAUUAAAACGUGAUAAUUUUUAUGAUUUUUCUAUGAUUUUAAAAUAUUAAAAAUGCAUGAAAUGUAACUAAAUAAGGAAAACUCCUAAAAAUCAAUUAAAAUUAUUUUGGUCUAUUUUUAGGAGUUAUUUUCAUGUAGGGCAAAAAUUAGGUGCUCACAUUUGUCCCUCUUUGCUCGGAAACAUGAAGAGUUUUCGGGCAAAGAUAAAGUGAGUGAUUAAGAGCAAUAUUUGCCCGUUUGAAACUCUAUUGGAAGCAUUUUGAAAAAGUUAGACCGAACCUUGCUUCGGAGGUUGUCUACAUAUCCUUGGCUAUAAAGGAAUCAGGUCGGUGUAGUUCUGAAAGUUUUGGUAGCUGGGACUAUUGAAAAACUGUGAUUUCACUAUUGUUGCUGCUGUUUCUGCUUGCUGAGCUCCUUAUUACAUCAAAAUGAAAAAUAAAAAACUAAACUAGCUAAGCCUAUCAACUAUGAAUUACAAUAUUCCUAUCUAUAAACCUUCUAAAGUUUGAUCAUGAGUCUUGGCUGGUUCUUCCUACAGACUCUGAUCUGAAUCUUGAUGCUCGUUAGUUGCAACCGCUGGUUCAUUUUCUUCAGCUUUUUGAAACAAGGCCGGACAUGCAAAGCUUGUGACUUUAAUCAUAUCUUGAGUAGUCCACAUCUUUUCUCCGCUUUUACAUUUAGAGUUCACUUCUUUUCUUGUUCCUCUUUUGGUCAUCUCAAACCUCGUGCCUCAUGGUAAAAACUUGUUCAUGAACCAAUACAAACAAAUGAACAAAACUUUUCUGCCCUAGUUUUCACUAGGAAAAUUUCGUGAGUUAUUGUAACAAAAUUUAAACUACUUCUUUAUUGAAAGCAAUAAAAUCAUGAUUGUGUAUACUUGAGAAAAAGAGAUUAGGGAGUGGAGACCCUAUAUCUAAAAUGAAAUCAAAUGGGGAUCGGAGGCCCUAAGUUGGAAAGAUUAUCAGGUUAUGCUAGCAUCAAAUAGGGAGUGGGACCCUAUACUGGAAAAGACUAUCAGGUUAUGUUGGUAGAGUCAACGGGUUAUGCCGGAAAAGUCCUCGGCUUAUGUCGGAAAAGUCAUCGGGUUAUGCUGGGGAAGUCAUCGGGUUAUGCCGGAAAGGUUCUCGAGUUAUGUCGGGGAAGGUCCUCGGGUUAUGCCGCGGAAGUCAUCGAGUUAUGCCGGAAAGGUCCUAGUCAUCGGGUUAUGCCGGAAAGGUCCUUGGGAUAUGCCGGUGAAGUCAUCAAGUUACGCUGGAAAGGUCCUCGGGUUAUGCUAGGGAGGUCAUCGGGUUGUGCCGGAAAGGUCCUCAGAUUAUGCCGGGGAGGUCAUCGGGUUAUGCCGGAAAGGUCUUCGGGUUAUGCUGAGGAAGUCAUCGGGUUAUGCCAGAAAGGUCCUCGGGUUAUGCCAGAAAAAGUCAUUGGGUUAUGCCGGAAAGGUCCUCGGGCUAUGCCGGGGAAGUCAUCGGGUUAUACCGGAAAGGUCCUCGGGUUAUGCCAGGGAGGUUGCGUUAUGCCGGAAAGGUCCUUGGGUUAUGCCGGGGAAGUCAUUAGGUUUGUCGGAAAUAGGAAUGAUGAGUCAGUGCAUCCAUCACCAGGGCAAAUAGGAAUGGGCUGAGCGCAGACCCUUGGUGCAACCCCGUAACAACAGGAAAGUGUUUAGAGUCGCCUCCUACUGUCCUAACCCGAGUUUUAGCUCCAACAUACAUGUCUUUAAUCACCCUAAUAUAGUCAACUGGGACCCCUUUAUCCUCUAAGCAGCUCCAUAAGACCUCCCUAGGAACCCUAUCGUAUGCUUUCUCCAGAUCAACAAACACCAUGUGGAGAUCCUUCUUCUUAUCCUUGUACUGUUCCACCAUCCUCCUAAUAAGAUGGAUAGCUUCUGUGGUAGAUCUCCCUGGCAUGAACCCGAACUGGUUGUCUGAAAUAGACACCGUCCUUCGCACUCUCAUUUCUACCAUUCUCUCCCAAACUUUCAUGGUAUGACUUAGUAAUUUGAUGCCCUUAUAGUUGUUACAGCUCUGGACAUCACCUUUGUUCUUAUACAACGGAACCAUUGUACUCCACCUCCACUCUUCAGGCAUCCUAUUAGUCUUCAAUAUAACACUAAACAAUCCAGUAAGCCAUUCCAAGCCUGCUCUACCCACACACCUCCAAAUUUCAACCGAAAUUUCGUUUGGCACGGUAGCUCUGCCCCUUUCAUCUUACGCAUUGCCUCCAUGACUUCAUCGAUGUCAAUGUCCCUACAAUUACUUAAUUCAUGGGGACUGUCGGCAUUCCUCAAUUCCCCAAGUAUAAUAUCCUGAUCCCCUUCUUCACUUAGAAGUUUAUGAAAGUAGGUCUGCCACCUUCUCUUAAUCUGCUCAUCUCCCAUCAAAACUUUUCCGUCAUCAUCUUUUAUGCACCUCACUUAGUCCAGAUCCCGAGUUGUCCUCUCUCUCGCCUUAGCGAGUCGGAAUAACUUCUAAAGAAAAGCGAAAAUAUUUUUGGACUUUAAUUAUUCAAAAAAAAAAUAAGAUUUAUAAAGAGGGGAAAGAUAUUUUUUCUUGGAUUCUUUCUUUUCUGACUUUUUUUUUGGAUAUUUUGAAAAAAGUACUUCAAAAUAAAGGAAACUUGUACUUCGGAUUUUGAUUUUUUAUUGAUUUUCUUUUUUAUUUCCUUUUUUUCGUAUGAAAGACUUAGAACAAAGGAAACUAUUUUUUUGAGUUUAAAAAUAUUUUUUUUAAAAAACAAAAAUUUCUAAAAUAAUGCUUCUAAAAAAUGAAUUAAAUGAAAAUAUUUUUUGGGGGGGAUUUUUAAAAAUUGGGGCCGAAACCGAUGAGUUUUGCAUACGUAUCUCACAUCCGGUGAGAAACAGACCCGCGUAGUUCGGUCACUUUUGACGGAACAGGGAAAUAUGGCACUUGAAUAUUUUGGCUCAAUUUGGAAUGACCUUUCUUCUUCUCUUUUUUCACAAUUUCAGCAGAGUUUCAGGAUAUUUUCAAGUACUUGGGUUUUUUGAGAACCUGGUGAAUUUUCUCUUUCCUAGCUCACUCUGAUUUUUGUUUUCUUUCUUCUUUUUCUUCUUCUGUUUUUUUUUAUUUUCUUUCCCUAUUCUAGAAGCCGGUCAACAUGCAAGCCGAAAGAAACAGAUGCGCAGGUAGCACGUAAUAUGCAUCAGGAUGGUCUUUUAAUUUGGGGACCUGUCCUAGACGGACCCAACCCCUGUGUUGGGUCCCCAAAGUCAGAUGCACAUGAUGCAAACAAGUGUUCCUACUAUGGAUCCGGCAUGAGGCUGUGUUAUUAUAGGUUUAAAAUCUGGGUGUAUUGUUCUAGACCUGGCUUACCCAAGCGGACCAUUCGAGCCAAGGGGGGCUACGUACCGGGAACCAAAAGGUCAUUCGGCUUUAUAACUUGUCCGAACAUCAUUCUAAAUUAGGUAUGACACUAACAGAAAAGAAGUCAUGCCAGCGUGUACUUCCCAGAAGAUUAGAAGAGAAGGGUUAGCAGUUUAUAUGCAUUUCCAAUAAUAUCAAAGCGGUAAAAAGCGAUAUUUAGCACAUUAUGCCCAAGCAUGUAACAAAAAUCAGAUAAUAAAUAAAAUCCAAUUAUAAAAAUUAUUCUAAGUUCGAAUUCUUGAACCCUUAACCAUAGAUUCUGGGUUCUUGUCCCCUGUAGAGUCGCCAGAGCUGUCACACCUCCUUUUUACCACCUGAAGGGGUAUAUAAGUGAGUUUUUCCAAUUAAAGUGACAUAAAUCUAAAUGGGAUCAUUUUAUUUAUUUUUAGAGUCGCGACUUGGAAUAAUUUAUUUGGUGUCUCAAGUCACCGGUUUAUUUCAAAUCCCAAGUCGGGGAGAAUUUUGAUUUUAUUGAAAAGUCUGCAAAACCAGAAAUUCUAGAUAAGAAAUUCUGUUAACCCGGGUGAAGGUGUUAGAUAUUUCCGGGUUCCGUGGUUUGAGCACGGUCUCUUAACUAUUAAUAAUUGGCCGAUUAUCUGAUUUAUUACAUAUUUUAAAUCUAGUGUGCAUUUUUAAAUUUAUUUAUUUAAAACCGCUUUUAGAAUAUAUGGAAUUUAUUUUCUUGAACAAGUUACGAUUAUCGUACACUUGCCAUUUUGGAACACACCGCAAAUCAUGCUACAUGAAAUGCACCCGCGAUGUAUUUGUUAUGAUCGGGUCACAUGAAGUGCACACCUGAAUUUGGGUUAGGUAUCAUGACUAUGCCACGGGAACUGUACCCAUAAUCACGAUGCUUUAUUAAUCGCACCUAAAGCAAGCUACGAUGUAUUUACUUGGUCCUAAAUUGAAUAUGUAGUUUAUUUGGUCCUCGAGCUAUCUUACACUUUAGAAUCUAUUAGUAGUUGGAUAAGGAACUCAUUUAGCCUUUGACUUUUUAACUUGAAGCUAUAUUUGGCUUUUCUGCAUUGUGUUCCACCAAAUGGUUGAUUGAAGACAAGCGCAAGAGCCAAAUGUAUUUGUAUUUUCAAAUAAUAUCAAAACACAUCCAAGUAAAGGAAGUAAGGAAUAAAAAGGGAAACUAUGUCAUGUUCAUUAUAAAGAGUUAUGUGUACAGAUUUACCAACUCCAAGUAUCUCACAGAAUGAAGUUAGACAACAAUGGAUUCCUUGUGAAAUUUUAGUCAAGCUAGGCUCUUGAAUCAAUCCAUUUGACCUUGUAUUGAAGGAGAUAGCUUGGUUUAAAUAUUUGAAAAUGGUGCAGAUUUUUUAAAUACGUAUUCAGUGGCAAUUUCGUAAUUAAUCUAAAAAAAUUUGGCAACCCAAUUCUUAGUAAAAUGACCCUAAAAUUCUCAUAUGAUGUCAAAAUUCGAUGAUUUUUUUUGCUAUGGCUCCGUAAUUAUGAUACGGAUCUAAUGUUUCAAUAACAACAAAAAUCAGAGCUCAUUUGCUUAAUGUAGUACAAUUUAUGCUUGAAAAACGACGUAGAAACAUAAAAACGAGCGCAACACAAACCAAACCUAUCCGAAACUCACUCGAGCCCCUCGGGACCCUGGUCGAACAUACUAAAAAGUCUCAUAUCAUAAUACAGACCAACUUGAGGCCUCAAAACACAAAUAACAAUAUCGAAACGAUGAAUCACACCUCAAUUCGAAAUCAAUAAACUUCAAACUUCAAACUUCCAUAACCGAUGCAGAAACCUAUCAAAUCAUGUCCGAUUGACCUAAAAUUUUGCACACAAGUCAAAUUUAACAUUAUGUACCUGAUCCGACCUCUAGAAUAUGAAUUCGACCCUGAUAUCAAAAAGUCCACUUGCGGUCAAACUUUUCAAAAUUUCAACUUUCGCUAUUUUAAGCCAAAUUCUACUACGGACCUUCAAAUCAGAAUUCGGACGCGCUCCUAAGUCUAAAAUCAUCUAACAGAGCUAACAGAAUCAUCAGAAAUCCAAUCCGAUGUCAAAUUCUAAAAAGUCAAAACUCGGUCAAACCUUUCAAAUUUAAAGCUUCUAGUUGAGAAUCAUUCUUCCAAAUCAAUUCCGAAUAAUCUGAAAACCAAAACUAACAAUUCACAUAAGUCAUAAUACUUCCUACGGAGCUACUCAUACCCUCAAACAACCGAGUGAAGUACAAUUGCUCAAAUGACCGAUCGGGUCGUUACUACAAAAGGCACUGUAAUAAGUACAAAUCAGUGAAUGAACUUUUGAAUACAUCUAAAUACAACAUGCAAAGGUUAGUGGGAUAAUUACAAAUCAGUUAAGGUAUUUUGGAAUACAUAUAAAUACAUUUAUAUACAAUAUACAAAAGUCACUGAAAAAGGUAAAAUUCAAUGAAUGCAUUUUUGAAUACUUAUGAAUACAUCAACAUACAUGUAUACCAUAUCAACAUAAAAGGAGAGAAAGCAAUGUAUCCACUACUGCACACAUAUAAAUACAAUAAAAUACAAUAAGAGAAACCAUUUAGAGAAGGUAAUGCUCAAUGUAUGAGGAGUCAAAUACAUAUAGAUACAUCAACAAUUAUCUUUUCACCCCGUGUAUCCGAGCUAUUUCAUGCAUUGACCUCCUUUCCCUUAACACCAGAAGCAUUAUCCAUAGUGUGACAAUCCGGCCCAUUGUCCCAUGAGUUACCGCUCCUUUUUUCCUACUUCUACUUCUUAUUGCUUUGUCUAUCGGUUCUAUAUGUGAUCAGGUUGGUUGGCUCGGGUUCGAAAAGGAUUUGGUAAGGUUUGAGACACUUAGUCUCUUUUAAGAAAGCUUAAGUUGGAAAAGUCAACCAGAUGUUGACUUAUGUGUUAGAGGGCUCGGAGGUGAGUUCUGAUGGUUCAGAUAGCUUCGGGAGGUGAAUUGGGACUUAGGAGCAUGAUCGGAAUGUGUUUUGGAGGUCCAUAGUAGAUUUAGGCUUGAAUUGGCGAAAUUGGAUUUUUGGCAUUUUCCGAUUGAUAGGCGAGAUUUUGGUAUAGGGGUCGAAAUGGAAUUCCGAGAGUUUGUUGUAGUUCCGUUGUAUCAUUUGGGAUGUGUGUUAAAAAUUUCAAGUCAUUCGGACGUGGUUUGGUUGGGUUUUUUAUCAAAAGCAUAAUUCGGAAGAUUUUUGGAAACUUAGGCUUGAAUCCGAUGUGUGUUGGCUGAUUCGAUGUUGUUUGAGGUGUUUUGAAGAUUGGUAUAAGUUUGAAUAUGGUUAUGAGAUAUGUUUGUGCUUUUAGUUGAGGUCCCGGGGGCCUCGGGGUGAUUUCGGAUGGUUGACGGAGAGUUUGGAAUUUUUGGUGAAGCUUCAGAUUAUCUGCUUCUAUUGUUUCCGCACCUGCGGAUUGGGGACCAUGGGUACGAUGCCGCAGAUGCGAGGAAGAGGGCCGCAGAAGCGGAAGAAGGUAAGGGAGGCAGAAACCACAGAAACGGUUAGAGAACCACACCUGCGAUGGCGUAGGUGCGAAUAGUGAAUCGCAGAUGCGAAAAUGAGGACUUAAGUGAGGACCGCAGAAGCGGUACCGUAGAAGCGGGAAUUGGGUCGCAAAUGCAAAAUUCCUGGACCAGAACAUAUAAAUUGUUUCCUUCGCAAUUUUUGAGCUAUUCCACCAUUUCUAAGCAGGCUUUGGAGCUUUUUAGGCGAUUUUGAAGAAGGAUUUCAAGGGGACUUCAUUGAUGUAAGGAUUUUGGACCUAAAAUGGAAUUGUGGGUUAAAAUUGGGGAAACCUAGGGCUUGGUAUUGGAGACCUAGAUUUGCAGAUUUGAGGGAUCAUUUGUGAUUAGAUUUUGGUACUUUUAAUAUGUAUGAACUCGUGGGGAGAUAAGGAAUCUAUUGAUGUGAAUAUUAUCGAAUUCCGAGAUGUGGGGCCGGGGGUCGGUUUUUGGUAAUUUCGGGAUUUAUGUUGUAAAUUGAUUAUUUUCGCUUGGGAUUCGUUUUCUUAGCAUAUUGUGACAUUGUGAUUCUAAUUUUGGAUAGAUUCGACGUGAGUGGAGGCCGAUUCGACAGUUAAAGGCGUCGCGGGCUAGAUAUUUGACCGGAUUGAGGAGAGUAAUGAUCGUAAAUGAUGUCCUGAGGGUAUGAAACCCCGGAUUUCACAUCGUUGUGCUAUAUUGAGGUGACGCACACGCUAGAUGACGAGCGUGGGGUCAUGCACUGUUGGGGAUUGUGACUUAGUCCUUCCCGAAUGACUAUUUUACCGCGUAUUUGACUGAAAUCUAUUUGUGAACAUCAUGUUUUGGGCUGAACACCAUAUUUGGGCCUCGUGUCAACUAUUUGAACUCUUAGGGGAUUUUUAUUGAUAUUUCUUCACUAUUUUAACUUUAUACUUGAACUCAGUUAUGCUAUAUCCUACUGUUUUCAUAACUUAGCCAUGUUUACUCUGUUUUAUCACUUAAAUGAUCUUUUAAAUGAUAUUUUGGGCUGAGAAUCAUGUUUUACUAUUGCCUAAGUGACUUGUGAGGAUUUUGACUGAGUAAGGCCGAGGGCCUAUGUUGUGAGGAAACACUCAUUAUGAUUAUGAGGCCGAGGGCCUGAGAUAUGUACGCCACGAGGUGGCUUGUUGAUAUUGUGAGCACGUGAUUUUUGCCCAAAGCAAAUUAUUUCCAGAAAUUCAAACAAAAUAAUUUCUUUAUUAAUUUAUAAUCUUUGUGAAUUUUGGUGUUAUUUUCUGUUAAUUGUCGCAUUUAUAUGUGCAUUCUAAUUCAUAUGAAAAAUACAAAAAUAUGCAUUUGCAUUUAGGAUUUAAUUCCAUAUUUUUAGUAUUAAUUAGAGGUUAAUUUGUUUUAGAACAAAAUAUGAAGAAAAUAACAAAAAUAGUUCACUUUUGCAUUUUUAAUUGUUUAAUUGUGAAUUCGUCCCAAAAUAUUUUUUAAAUAAUUUUAGAAAUCAAUUAGUGAGAUAUAUUAGGACUUUAUUUUAAUUGUUGUAAUUUUAUAAAAUUAGAAAAAUAUACAACAAAUAUAGAAAAAAGAAACAAAUGAAAAGGAAAAGGAAACAAAAAAAAAGAAAUAGAGAAAGGGCUGUCCACAUUUGGGCCAUGCCAAUUCAUUUCACUCAGGCCCAAAUACCCAGUAUAGUUCGACCCAGUCCAAGCCCUUCCCACCCGGUCCAAUUCAUUAAUCCUCCAAACGACGUCGUUUGGGGGACAAUAAAUCUUGGCCAUUAAAGCUUCUGAUCCAACAGCCAGGAACCCCCUUUCCCAUUUUGAUAUAGUUGUCCGAAAAUUUCCAAACCCUAAAAAACAUAGUCCAUCUUCCUCGUACCCUCUGUUACUUCGCCGGAAGCCCACCGCCGGCAAACACCACUUACGCCAUCGACCACCAAAAUAACACCACGAAUCCUCAUUUUCUCCCUCGUCAUGAAUCCACCACCCUUUUCUCUCAAAUCUUUCCCUACCUCCUCGAAUCUUCGAUAGAAAAUUUUCCGGCCACGACGAGACCUACCCCAAAUAACCCCAAAUUAACACCAUGUGACCGCCUGGGCCUCCUCUACCCAACCCCCAUGGCCUUAUCUCUCGAAUCUGUCUGGAAAAGCUCGAAUAUCAAAUCAAAAGUUUCCGACCAAUACCCUAAGGCAAGAUCUUCAUGAUUUCGGACCCUAAUAAUCCUAACCAGGUGUUUUCUUAUGAAAACACAUGGUUAGGGAUGUUACGGGUCAGAAAUUUCGGAAGAUUUGGAGAAGCAACCACUGGCCGGAUCUUAGUGAGUCAUUUUCUGUUUUUUUUGUGUUUUGUUAUUUAGUUUUGUUUUGCAUGUAAUUAAAGAAGGUUUACAAGUUAAUUUCCAUUUCUUGCUUAGUUAAUUGUUUCUGAAUCCUUUCUGCUUUUUAGUUAUCGACGGUGUUUAGUUAAAAUCAGUUGAUUCCUAUUCGUUAUCUAUUAUUUGGGUUCAUAUAUUCAGUGUUGGGAUUGCUAGUUGUUAAUUGCAAAUGCUUGAUUAGUUUUUAUAAAUUGCUUUCAUUAGUUUAUAACUUUGGUUCAGUUAAGAAUAUCAGGCAGAGUUUAAUGUUCAGGUCAAGCUUAAUUAAGUUGUAAAAAUCAGUAUAGUAUAGGGUUAGUUUAGGGAUUUCAAUAAUAUAGAAACCCCUAGGAAUUUCUAGAUAGGGGGCUGCUAAGUAAUUUGUAAAGAAUAGUAGUGUUUACUUGGGUAACAAGUUAGAAAAUAAGGGACUAAUUAAAUAAAUAGGUAAGGGACUGACAUUGAAAAAUCUGAGGGCUACCCUCAUUGGUGCCUAUAAAAGGGCAUGCCCUUUACUUCAAAAAAAAAAAAGAACCUCGAGAAUUCCCUCAAAAAGUUCCCCAAGCUCUCCAGAUUUGAGAUUAAAAUUCAGAUCAAAUCCUUUUAGAUUUUAACUUCUUUCAUAUAGAAAACCCAAAAACAAUAUAAAACUUCAAAAAUCAAGAAAAAAGGCUACUGUCCCGUUAAGCAGUAGGUGAAUUUCAGCUUACAGCUGUUGAUUUACAAAUUUUUAGUUCAAUUUCUGGUUACUGUAACUUCAGAGAUCUGUUUGUUCUAUUUCGGGUGGGUUUUUAGCUUCAGUUGAGUCAUUUUGGGCCAACCAGUUGAUGUGA